UCAUUUUUUCCCUUGGGCCAUAUACGUUCGAUCAUUAGCUUCAUACCCAUUGAUUGGUGUAUGGUCGUCGAUCAGUAGGUAGGAACAAAAAAACGAACCCAAUUGAUUGGGUUAUGGAUCGAUCGAUCAUCAGAAGGUAGAAGAAAAAAAUUGGCGACGUGAAGCAAGGGAAGGGAGGAUUGACAAGUGCUGAUUUUGGGUAACAAUUGAGACCGAAAUUGACCUUCAUUCUUGGUGAGGUCUUGGAAAUUUCAAGGGAGCUCGAAACUAGGAGUUAACAAAGGAUUCAUUAAGGCCAAGGUACUUCCGGUAUGAAAGGGAAGGGCCCGACAUGAGCGCACAACAUCCCCCUCGUGAUUCCACAUUUAUGACUAAUUUUACUCUGAUGAAUUUUGAUAUAUUGUAUUAUGGUUGAUUUUGGGACAUCUGGUGUAUGGUAUUAAUAAUUUAUAAAAUGAAAAAAUUUACCACUGUUUUUGUAACGUUACAAUAAA